GGGGCUGUAGCUCAGUUGGUAGAGCGCUUGCAUGGCAUGCAAGAGGUCGCCGUUUCGAGUACGGUCAGCUCCACCG
rnacentral:tRNA from 1 species